AUUGAACGCUGGCGGCAGGCCUAACACAUGCAAGUCGAGCGGAUGACGGGAGCUUGCUCCUCGAUUCAGCGGCGGACGGGUGAGUAAUACCUAGGAAUCUGCCUGAUAGUGGGGGACAACGCUUCGAAAGGAACGCUAAUACCGCAUACGUCCUACGGGAGAAAGCAGGGGACCUUCGGGCCUUGCGCUAUCAGAUGAGCCUAGGUCGGAUUAGCUAGUUGGUGAGGUAAUGGCUCACCAAGGCGACGAUCCGUAACUGGUCUGAGAGGAUGAUCAGUCACACUGGAACUGAGACACGGUCCAGACUCCUACGGGAGGCAGCAGUGGGGAAUAUUGGACAAUGGGCGAAAGCCUGAUCCAGCCAUGCCGCGUGUGUGAAGAAGGUCUUCGGAUUGUAAAGCACUUUAAGUUGGGAGGAAGGGCAGUAAGCUAAUACCUUGCUGUUUUGACGUUACCGACAGAAUAAGCACCGGCUAACUCUGUGCCAGCCGCCGCAGUAAUAC
rnacentral:rRNA from 1 species